GAUGAAGAACGUAGUGAAAUGCGAUAAUUAAUGUGAAUUGCAGAAUUCAGUGAAUCAUCGAGUCUUUGAACGCACAUUGCGCCCCCUGGUAUUCCGGGGGGCAUGCCUGUCCGAGCGUCAUUGCUGCCCUCAAGCACGGCUUGUGUGUUGGGCUUCCGUCCCUGGCAACGGGGACGGGCCCAAAAGGCAGUGGCGGCACCAUGUCUGGUCCUCGAGCGUAUGGGGCUUUGUCACCUGCUCCCGUAGGUCCAGCUGGCAGCUAGCCUCGCAACCAAUCUUUUUAACCAGGUUGACCUCGGAUCAGGUAGGGAUACCCGCUGAACUUAAGCAUAUCAAUAAGCGGAGGA
rnacentral:misc_RNA from 1 species